rnacentral:rRNA from 1 species
UACGUAGGGUGCAAGCGUUAAUCGGAAUUACUGGGCGUAAAGCGUGCGCAGGCGGUUAUACAAGACAGAGGUGAAAUCCCCGGGCUUAACCUGGGAACUGCAUUUGUGACUGCAUGGCUAGAGUGCGGCAGAGGGGGAUGGAAUUCCGCGUGUAGCAGUGAAAUGCGUAGAUAUGCGGAGGAACACCGAUGGCGAAGGCAAUCCCCUGGGCCUGCACUGACGCUCAUGCACGAAAGCGUGGGGAGCAAACAGG